rnacentral:lncRNA from 1 species
CUUUUAAUAAAUAUUUAGUUGACUGAGUGAGUUGAGGUUGAGGAUGCAGGAGGGAGCAGGUGCCCUCCAGGACAGCAGUCCCCAACCUUUUCGGCACCAGGGACUGGUUUUGUGAAAGACAACUUUUCCAUGGAUGGAGGGCAGGGAUGGUUUCAGGAUGAUUCAAACACAUUACACUUAUUGUGCACUUUAUUCCUAUUAUUAUUACAUUGUAAUAUAUAAUGAAAUAAUUACAUGACUCACCAUAAUGUAUGGUGAAGGAAGCCCUGAGCUUGUUUUCCUGCAACUAGAUGGUCCCAUCUGGGGGUGAUGGGAGACAGUGACAGAUCAUCAGACGUUAGAUUCUCAUAAGGAAUGUACAGCCUAGAUCACUUGCUUGCACAGCUCACAAUAGGGUUCAUACUCCUGGAAUCCUAGAAUCCUAGAAUCCCUACUCCUAGAAUCCUAGAAUUAGAGAAUCUAAUGCCACUGUUGAUCUGACAGGAGAUGGAGCUCAGGUGGUAAUGCAAGCAAUAGUGAGCGGCUGUAAAUACAGAUGAAGCUUCACUCGCUUGCAAGCCACUCACCUCCUGCUGUGCAACCCAAUUUCUAGCAGGCCAUGGUCUAUGGCCUGGGGAUUGAAGACCCCUGCUCCAAGACUUACCUCCCACUGAGAACUCAGGCAGGAUGCUUGGAGGUGAGGUGAAAGGUAGUGGGAGGAAGGGAAGCCCAGUGUAUGUGUGAGUGGGUGUGUGUGCUUGUGUGCCUGAGUGAGGGUGGGUGCUUCUCCAGGACCCCUGUACCUCCCAGUUCCUGGCCUGGGUGGAGGCUGGGCAGGACAGAGGUAAAUCUGAGCCAGGGUCUGACCAAGGAGAUAACAGGUUGUGCCAGAGGCACCAGGCAAAACUGGAAGGGAUGGGAUGGAGGGCAUGUGGAUGGAAACUAUUAACUCUCCCUGGGGAUGGCAGGGCCGAGGCUUUGCUCUAGGGGAGGGGGCAGUAGAGUUGGGCCUUGAAGAGUGAGUAGGAGUUUGCUGAGCCAUGACAAAAGAAGAAAGGCAUUUUGAGCUUCAGAGGUCUGAGGGCUAUGAAAAGGUGGACUAGCUCAGAGGAUGCUGGACUGGACUGUCUGCUGUAGCAGAGGAGGUGAGACAAAGUAGUCAGCAGCCCGAGGUCAGAGAGGCUUUAAAUGCUAGUGGGAGGACCAGGGACUCCAUCCUGAGGGCCCCGAGGUCAGGGAGACUUUAAAUGUUAGGAGGAGGACCAGGGACUCCAUCCUGAGGGCCCUGGAAGAGUUGAAGCAAAGGAAUGAGAGAUUCCUUCAGCUGCCCUGAAAUGGGUCUAAAAAUGCUUGGGAGGCAAAAUCCUAGACACAGUGCUGGGUAGGAUGUUAUGGCUGGCAUGAGGGUGUAGAGGAUGAUAUCCAUGUCUUUGGUCUGAAAGCCCCUGAGGUAAGGAACUGGGCCCUGGGGUUCGAGGGAUGUAGCAGGUUUGGGGACAACAGUGAAAGUUGGUUCUAGCCAGGUAGGCUGGAGCCUGGAGCACUGUGAAUUGGGGAUCCUGGAUCUGGUUCCCCCUCCUGGAGAGAGACUCUGAUGUCCCCUGUCUCAGUACUGGCACCCUGGGCCAUACAAACCUUGUCCUAUGAGGACCCUGUCCCAAGCUUUUCAUGGUCUACUACACUCAGGGCCCCUGGGCAGACGAGGUGGGCUGGGGGACUGGGUAGAGGCUGGGCCUUGAAGCUGGGGAAAGGACAAAUCAGGCUGUCAGCUCUGAAUGCCACUCCCCUUAGCUGCCCUCCAAGCCACCCCCAACCAGGAUGCCCAGGCAGGGGCUGCUGUAGUUGCUGCAACCCUGAAGGGGUGGAGCUGUUGAUCUCGGGGUAGCCUAUGGUGGCAGGGAGCCUCUUGGGUGGUAGUUUCUGUUGGGGGAAGGGGUUAUUGCAUGUCAUGGGAUUAAGGUGAGUACCAGCGGCUAGUGGAUCUGUGGUGGCCAGUGGGAGAGUCGAGUUUCUGCGGGUGAGUGGGAGUGAGAGGUGGGGGCCAGGGCCCAUGGCUCCCGGUAUUUUUCCACCCACUCCUGUGCUUAAUAAUGCUUCCCUGCUUUCCUGGGUGCCAGUCAUCCUCUCCUCUCCCACCUAUGACUGGGUGGGGCUGGGACCAAGUCAGCGGAGGCAGGGUGGGCAGGCAAGGGCAGACUCCUCCACCACCCCACCCUAUUUGGGUGUGGCUGCAGGGAGCGUGUGUGCGUGCACACCUGCGCAGCGCUACGGUGGGGCGCCCUCAGGGCCUCAACGCACACAGUCUGACCCCUUGGGAAGCAAAAGGAGACAAGGGCCAGACAUGAUCUGGGGUCACCAGCAGGACCAGGACGCCACCUUGCCUCACUGCUCUAUCAGCACCUGCCCAUUGCCCUGAACUGUGCUCCUUCAGGGAAGGGAGGAGGCAAAAGGAGCCUUAAGAGGGAAUCUCUAGCACAAAUUUAACCAUGAACAGAAGAUCUAUGAGAAGAAAGGAAAAUAAAAACUUAAGCGAAGACAGACACAACAUCUGAAUAAAUGCACAGGAAGUGCAGAUCACAGUCCUCUCUGGAGGAAAAGACUAAUGCCAGUUCUUCCCAAGUGAGUCCCUAGAUUCAGGGCAACCUGGUCACAGUUCAGAGGUUUGCUUUUCCAGAGCCUGAGGCAUGCAGUCUCAACUUCUGACAACUGGAAAUGUAGAGGAAUAGCUUUGACAGGUUUGUAAAUGACCAACAAGGAGGAGAGAUUGGCUAUUAAACUCCAACACAGUAGUAAUUAUACAUUAACAGGGAAAUAGAUCAGAUGACCAGAAUCCAGUAACAAAGAUUCGUACAAAAUUAGGAAAAGUUCCUACCAAUCAUUAAGAAGAAGUUAAAUAAGCCUUGGAAAAAAAUCAUGAAGGGUUUGGGGUAACUUACACAAGAACUGCUCUUUUGAGAGUGAGGACCACUCUGUUCCCUUAGUGCUAGGCACCCAGCAAACACACCAUAAAUGCUCAAAAACUGAAUGUUCAUCACUGGUAAUCAG